rnacentral:rRNA from 1 species
GAAAAUUGGGGCGUGCCUAAUACAUGCAAGUCGAGCGGACAGAUGGGAGCUUGCUCCCUGAUGUUAGCGGCGGACGGGUGAGUAACACGUGGGUAACCUGCCUGUAAGACUGGGAUAACUCCGGGAAACCGGGGCUAAUACCGGAUGGUUGUUUGAACCGCAUGGUUCAAACAUAAAAGGUGGCUUCGGCUACCACUUACAGAUGGACCCGCGGCGCAUUAGCUAGUUGGUGAGGUAACGGCUCACCAAGGCGACGAUGCGUAGCCGACCUGAGAGGGUGAUCGGCCACACUGGGACUGAGACACGGCCCAGACUCCUACGGGAGGCAGCAGUAGGGAAUCUUCCGCAAUGGACGAAAGUCUGACGGAGCAACGCCGCGUGAGUGAUGAAGGUUUUCGGAUCGUAAAGCUCUGUUGUUAGGGAAGAACAAGUACCGUUCGAAUAGGGCGGUACCUUGACGGUACCUAACCAGAAAGCCACGGCUAACUACGUGCCAGCAGCCGCGGUAAUACGUAGGUGGCAAGCGUUGUCCGGAAUUAUUGGGCGUAAAGGGCUCGCAGGCGGUUUCUUAAGUCUGAUGUGAAAGCCCCCGGCUCAACCGGGGAGGGUCAUUGGAAACUGGGGAACUUGAGUGCAGAAGAGGAGAGUGGAAUUCCACGUGUAGCGGUGAAAUGCGUAGAGAUGUGGAGGAACACCAGUGGCGAAGGCGACUCUCUGGUCUGUAACUGACGCUGAGGAGCGAAAGCGUGGGGAGCGAACAGGAUUAGAUACCCUGGUAGUCCACGCCGUAAACGAUGAGUGCUAAGUGUUAGGGGGUUUCCGCCCCUUAGUGCUGCAGCUAACGCAUUAAGCACUCCGCCUGGGGAGUACGGUCGCAAGACUGAAACUCAAAGGAAUUGACGGGGGCCCGCACAAGCGGUGGAGCAUGUGGUUUAAUUCGAAGCAACGCGAAGAACCUUACCAGGUCUUGACAUCCUCUGACCAUCCUAGAGAUAGGACGUCCCCUUCGGGGGCAGAGUGACAGUGGUGCAUGGUUGUCGUCAGCUCGUGUCGUGAGAUGUUGGUUAAGUCCCGCAACGAGCGCAACCUGAUCUAGUGCCAGCAUUCAGUGGGCCACCUUCUUAAGGUGACCUGCCCGGGUGACA